rnacentral:rRNA from 1 species
GCAAGCGUUGUUCGGAAUUACUGGGCGUAAAGGGUGCGUAGGCGGCUUUCUAAGUUGGAUGUGAAAACUCUGGGCUCAACCCAGAGCCUGCAUCCAAAACUGGAGAGCUAGGGUUCUGGAGGGGAAAGCGGAAUUCCUGGUGUAGCGGUGAAAUGCGUAGAUAUCAGGAGGAACACCGGUGGCGAAGGCGGCUUUCUGGACAGAUACCGACGCUGAGGCACGAAAGCUAGGGGAGCAAACAGG